rnacentral:rRNA from 1 species
CAGUAGCCGCGGUAAAACGAAGGGUGCAAGCGUUAAUCGGAAUUACUGGGCGUAAAGCGUGCGUAGGUGGUCGUUUAAGUCUGUUGUGAAAGCCCUGGGCUCAACCUGGGAACUGCAGUGGAAACUGGACGACUAGAGUGUGGUAGAGGGUAGCGGAAUUCCUGGUGUAGCAGUGAAAUGCGUAGAGAUCAGGAGGAACAUCCAUGGCGAAGGCAGCUACCUGGACCAACACUGACACUGAGGCACGAAAGCGUGGGGAGCAAACAGGAUUAGAUACCCCAGUAGUCCCUGUCUCUUAUAC